rnacentral:rRNA from 1 species
GACUUAAGCAUAUCAAUAAGCGGAGGAAAAGAAACCAACAGGGAUUGCCCUAGUAACGGCGAGUGAAGCGGCAACAGCUCAAAUUUGAAAUCUGGCUCCUUUGGGGUCCGAGUUGUAAUUUGUAGAGGGUGCUUUGGCGUCGGCCAUGGUCUAAGUUCCUUGGAACAGGACGUCACAGAGGGUGAGAAUCCCGUACGUGGCCGCUGGCCUUCGCCAUGUAAAGCCCCUUCGACGAGUCGAGUUGUUUGGGAAUGCAGCUCUAAAUGGGAGGUAAAUUUCUUCUAAAGCUAAAUAUUGGCCAGAGACCGAUAGCGCACAAGUAGAGUGAUCGAAAGAUGAAAAGCACUUUGGAAAGAGAGUCAAAAAGCACGUGAAAUUGUUGAAAGGGAAGCGCUUGCAGCCAGACUUGCUCGUAGUUGCUCAUCCAGGUUUCGGCCUGGUGCACUCUUCUGCGGGCAGGCCAGCAUCAGUCCAGGCGGUCGGAUAAAGGUUCCGGGAAUGUGGCUCUCUUCGGGGAGUGUUAUAGCCCGGGACGUAAUGCGGCCAGUUUGGACUGAGGUCCGCGCAUCUGCUAGGAUGCUGGCGUAAUGGCUGUAAGCGGCCCGUCUUGAAACACGGACCAAGGAGUCUAACAUCUAUGCGAGUGUUUGGGUGUCAAGCCCGAGCGCGUAAUGAAAGUGAACGGAGGUGGGAACCCGCAAGGGCGCACCAUCGACCGAUCCUGAUGUCUUCGGAUGGAUUUGAGUAAGAGCAUAGCUGUUGGGACCCGAAAGAUGGUGAACUAUGCCUGAAUAGGGUGAAGCCAGAGGAAACUCUGGUGGAGGCUCGCAGCGGUUCUGACGUGCAAAUCGAUCGUCAAAUUUGGGCAUAGGGGCGAAAGACUAAUCAAACUAUCUAGUAGCUGGUUCCUGCCGAAGUUUU